UUCUUGAUUUGGUGGUUGGUGGUGCAUGGCCGUUCUUAGUUGGUGGAGCGAUUUGUCUGGUUAAUUCCGAUAACGAACGAGACUCUAGCCUGCUAAUUAGUACGCCUGUCCUCUGUUCCUGUGCUGGCGGUGCUUUGGCGAAACUGCUCACAUAUGUCGACUGCUAUCGGGACGCGUUCUUGCGUAUGCCGCGAGCUCCUCGUGGGCGAGUGGUGUGCGUAGGAGCGUGAACUGUGGUAGGAGGCGUGUGCGGUGGGUCCGGUGCUUGCCUCCGGGUACGGCGCAGGUGUGUCUACUUCUUAGAGGGACAAGCAUUACGAAUGUGUACGAAAUUGAGCAAUAACAGGUCUGUGAUGCCCUUAGAUGUCCGGGGCCGCACGCGCGCUACAAUGACGGUGCCAACGAGUCUGACCUUCUGGCCCGAAAGGGUUGGGCAAACUGGUCAAUCACCGUCAUGACAGGGAUCGGGGCUUGGAAUUGUUCCCCGUGAACGAGGAAUUCCUAGUAAGUGCAAGUCAUAAGCUUGCGCUGAUUACGUCCCUGCCCUUUGUACACACCGCCCGUCGCUACUACCGAUUGAAUGGUUUAGUAAGGUCCUCGGAUUGGCGCCAUUGCAGUAUCAGCCGCAAGGUUG
rnacentral:rRNA from 2 species